UUUUCCUAAGCACGGCGGCGAGGACGGUGACGACGGCAGGCGCCGCGAGGCCACGCAGCAUAUGGCGCCGCCCUUUUCCCUGCCUCACAGAGGCCUCCGCCGGCUCCUCGUUGAAAGUGGACGGGUUUUCUGAGCUCCACUUUCCACAACGCGCAGCGCGGAGGGAGUGAGAGAUCGAGGUGGAGCGGAGAACGUGCUUGUUAAAGUGGGCGGUUGCGCCCUGAUUCCCCCCUCUUGCCUGGGCUGCUUCUCUUUCCGGAAUCUGCGAGUGUUGUCCGAGGAAGCUCUGGCGAAGUGCGGGUUAUUCGGAAACGUUACACUGGCUGUCGUAAACGCGUCUAUGUAUGGCACGAGAGAAGGUCUUCCACGCGGCGUUGCUUUUUUUGUAAGCGAGAAGCGGAGAUCUUGGUCCCCUUCCUCUUCGCCUUGAACUGUGAACAGUUUGAAAGUAAGGGCAGAUUGGUUGCUGCUGGGAAAAAUACAAUUUGUUGUCUCCUCGGACCAGAUCUACUCUGGCCCUUUAAAA